AGUAACGCGUGGAUAACCUGCCUUACACUGGGGGAUAACACUUAGAAAUAGGUGCUAAUACCGCAUAAGCGCACAGAGCCGCAUGGCUCAGUGUGAAAAACUCCGGUGGUGUAAGAUGGAUCCGCGUCUGAUUAGCUGGUUGGCGGGGUAGAAGCCCACCAAGGCGACGAUCAGUAGCCGGCCUGAGAGGGUGAACGGCCACAUUGGGACCUGAGACACGGCCCAAACUCCUACGGAAGGCAGCAG
rnacentral:rRNA from 1 species